UACGAAGGGGCUAGCGUUGCUCGGAAUCACUGGCGUAAGCGCACGUAGGCGGAUUGCUAAGUCAGGGUGAAAUCCUGGAGCUCAACUCCAGAACUGCCUUUGAUACUGGCGAUCUUGAGUCCGGAGAGGUGAGUGGAACUGCGAGUGUAGAGGUGAAAUUCGUAGAUAUUCGCAAGAACACCAGUGGCGAAGGCGGCUCACUGGCCGGUACUGACGCUGAGGUGCGAAAGCGUGGGAUCAAACAGG
rnacentral:rRNA from 1 species